GACGAACGCUGGCGGCGUGCCUAAUACAUGCAAGUCGAACGCUUUUUCUUUCACCGGAGCUUGCUCCACCGAAAGGAAAAGAGUGGCGAACGGGUGAGUAACACGUGGGUAACCUGCCCAUCAGAAGGGGAUAACACUUGGAAACAGGUGCUAAUACCGUAUAACAAUCGAAACCGCAUGGUUUCGUUUUGAAAGGCGCUUUACGGUGCCGCUGAUGGAUGGACCCGCGGUGCAUUAGCUAGUUGGUGAGGUAACGGCUCACCAAGGCCACGAUGCAUAGCCGACCUGAGAGGGUGAUCGGCCACAUUGGGACUGAGACACGGCCCAAACUCCUACGGGAGGCAGCAGUAGGGAAUUUUCGGCAAUGGACGAAAGUCUGACCGAGCAACGCCGCGUGAGUGAAGAAGGUUUUCGGAUCGUAAAGCUCUGUUGUUAGAGAAGAACAAGGGUGAGAGUAACUGUUCACCCCUUGAAGGUAUCUAACCAGAAAGCCACGGCUAACUACGUGCCAGCCGCCGCCGUAA
rnacentral:rRNA from 1 species